UACGUAGGGUGCGAGCGUUAAUCGGAAUUACUGGGCGUAAAGCGUGCGCAGGCGGUCUGUUAAGACCGAUGUGAAAUCCCCGGGCUUAACCUGGGAACUGCAUUGGUGACUGGCAGGCUUUGAGUGUGGCAGAGGGAGGUAGAAUUCCACGUGUAGCAGUGAAAUGCGUAGAGAUGUGGAGGAAUACCGAUGGCGAAGCCAGCCUCCUGGGCCAACACUGACGCUCAUGCACGAAAGCGUGGGGAGCAAACAGG
rnacentral:rRNA from 1 species